GUUCGAUUAGCUAGUUGCGGGGUAAAGGCCCACCAAGGCGACGAUCGAUAGUUGGUCUGAGAGGAUGAUCAGCCACACUGGGACUGAGACACGGCCCAGACUCUUACGGGAGACAGCAGUAGGGAAUAUUGGGACAAUGGGCGCAAGCCUGAUCCAGCCAUGCCGCGUGAGUGAAGAAGGCCCUCGGGUUGUAAAGCUCUUUUGUCCGGGAAGAAAAGCAUCGGGCUAAUACCUCGGUGUUCUGACGGUACCGGAAGAAUAAGCACCGGCUAACUUCGUGCCAGCAGCCGCGGUAAUACGAAGGGUGCAAGCGUUACUCGGAAUUACUGGGCGUAAAGCGUGCGUAGGUGGUUUGUUAAGUCUGAUGUGAAAGCUCUGGGCUCAACCUGGGAAUGGCAUUGGAAACUGGCGGACUCGAGUGCGGUAGAGGGGUGUGGAAUUCCCGGUGUAGCAGUGAAAUGCGUAGAGAUCGGGAGGAACACCAGUGGCGAAGGCGACACCCUGG
rnacentral:rRNA from 1 species